GGUAUAUCGGCGUGAUUUUUUUUUCUUUUUGAUGACAUUUUUUACUUUUGUUUUCUGCCCUAUAGACAUGCGGGAUUUGAAGAUUAAUCAUGCUACUUUAAAAUGUGCAAUAUUUAUUGAAAAUGGAAACCAUAAAAAACAUCAAGCAAGUUCGUGAAAAUCUAACAUGAUACGACAAACUUUUCGUGUGCAUACACAAAGUAUGAAAAAUGAUUUUUUUUGUUGAAGCUGAAUUUCAUGUACAAUUUGGA